rnacentral:rRNA from 1 species
AGCUCCAAUAGCGUAUAUUAAAGUUGCUGCAGUUAAAAAGCUCGUAGUUGGAUCUCGGGUAUCGUCUCGGUGGUCCUGUUCACGCAGGCACUGCCUUGAUGACCUAACCGAUGGUGAAACGACCCCGAGUGCCCUUCACUGGGUGCUCGUGGGUGGCCAUUGCGUUUACUGUGAAAAAAUUAGAGUGUUCAAAGCAGGCUUCUAUAGCUCGAAUAGUCGUGCAUGGAAUAAUGGAAAAUGACACUGGCGCAUUUCCGUUGGUCUCUGUGACUGGUGUAAUGAUUAAGAGGGACUGCCGGGGGCAUUGGUAUGGCGGGGUUAGAGGUGAAAUUCUUGGAUCCUCGCCAGACCAACAAAAGCGAAAGCAUUUGCCAAGAAUGUCUUCAUUAAUCAAGAACGA